rnacentral:rRNA from 1 species
UACGUAGGGGGCAAGCGUUGUCCGGAAUUAUUGGGCGUAAAGAGCUCGUAGGCGGUUUGACGCGUCUGCUGUGAAAACUCGGGGCUUAACUCCGGGCCUGCAGUGGGUACGGGCAGACUAGAGUGCGGUAGGGGAGACUGGAAUUCCUGGUGUAGCGGUGAAAUGCGCAGAUAUCAGGAGGAACACCGGUGGCGAAGGCGGGUCUCUGGGCCGUAACUGACGCUGAGGAGCGAAAGCGUGGGGAGCGAACAGG